rnacentral:rRNA from 1 species
UACAGAGGUCUCAAGCGUUGUUCGGAUUCAUUGGGCGUAAAGGGUGUGUAGGUGGCGCCGUAAGUCGGGUGUGAAAUUUCGGAGCUUAACUCCGAAACUGCAUUCGAUACUGCCGUGCUUGAGGACUGGAGAGGAGACUGGAAUUUACGGUGUAGCGGUGAAAUGCGUAGAUAUCGUAAGGAAGACCAGUGGCGAAGGCGGCAUCCUGGACCGGCAUUGACGCUGAUGAGCGAAAGCUAGGGGAGCAAACGGG